rnacentral:tRNA from 1 species
GAAGGUAUAGCUCAGAGGUACAGUUUAUGUUUAGCAUGCAUGAGGUCCUGGGUUCAAUCCCCAGUACCUCCA